AUCCAUGCUGCAACGUAAGAACGCAUCAAAUCAAGUAUUCAUGGUCUGUGUGUACUAGACGUACAUGAGAUAUCUCUAGUAGAGGACAUCAAUCAUGCUGCACAUGAAGAAGCCAAGAUAAGUUCCUCAACACAAAGGAUUGGACUCCUGGGAACACUGCUCAAGCAACCCACGGUGAGUAAUGCAGUGUUGCAUUCAUGUUGCAUUCAG